UCCCGGCGGCCCGCACUGUGCAGGUUUCGGCGUGGCGGGAUUGCGGGCCCGCAGCCCACGGAGGUGACCCCGUUCUGUUCCAGGGCUCCACCCAGAGUAGACCCGGGAGACUUCUUAAUAUCGGGCUUUAAAACGCUGUUAUUUUUACUGUUAGGGUGAAGGCACCCCGCAUAACACCUUCCCGACCAGGCCCUGAGAUGCAGGUCCUUGAGAGGUAAACACUUGAGCGGGAGUCUUCCUUCCUAAAGGGUACAUCCUGAAGUUCCCAAGGAAGAAGAAACCUGAAGAUGCCUUUUGUGUUGGGAGAAGAACAAUGGUUGAUCUUUACCCAAGAGACUCCUGGUGUUUUGUCUUCAGACAGGCCUCUUUGACAGAUGGUGUGGGGAUAUUCAGCUUUGCCAGGUAUGGCAGUGAUUUUUACAGCUCAAGCUAUGAAGGCAAAGCAAAGGCAUUCCAGAAAAAGUCUUCAAGUGACUAUUCGGUUUUUGAUGACUAUUACAUUCCUGCAGUGACUAGCGUUUUGCUGCUUCGGUCCUGUAAGGUGACUUUAAUCAAC